UGCCAUGGCUGGAGCAGCACAUAGAAGCCAUUCCAACAGACAUGCCAAUGAAUGUUCCGGGUCAGUAAGUGACGAAGAAUAUCUGGGCCAUUUAAAGCAACAGGGUUCAUGUAAGCGCAGACGCCAGCACAUCUAAUGGAAAUGGGUCAGAUUCUAUGCUUAGGAAGAGAGAAGAAGCACAGGAAACUUAAUGGCCACGGUGACAUAUGACCUCAGCUUCCCUUCAAAAAAUCUGCAGUCUACAAUCAAAAAAAGGGAGGGGGUGCCUUUGGAACACUUGGUUCUCCCACCCAUCCAAGCUAAAUAGUGAUCACAAGGUUUCUAGUCAGAUUCUUAAUUGUUGCAGUGCAUUCUGAGAGUCCCACUAAACAGCAAGUUUUGUUUUGUAUGGUUGGCAGUGAUGAAUAUUCUUUUGGAAGCUGGGAAAAGGCAUGGCCUUUUUUCAUCCCUAAUGUCUAUGAUUCAAUUCUGACUCAAAAGGAAGUGUGCCACUGACUGAAUCACCAAAACCACUUCCUGUGGCUGUUUAGUUUAUUCUGGGAGGGCAUCAGGCCAAGGGCUGGCCUGCCCUGACCCUGGUGGGUUUGUUGGAGCCAAAAAAGAUCCCAGCCUAAGGUGGUUUGGCCACAGAUUUCCCAAGAAGAGAAUAUAUUCAGUCGUAAGUAUUUAGUUUCUUAGCAAGGGGUCAAGCAACAUGGAAAUGAACAUGUGUUUGAAAACAAGACAGGUUCAUUCCUCAACCUGGACACUAUUAAUUUUUCUAAUGAUAGGAAUUCUAAUGAGGCAUGGAAUAUUACCUUUUGUAAAGGAUUGAAGUUGUAAGUCACCCAAAGAGGCCUAGAGAUACUAUGACACAGACUUAGCAAGGAAUUGCACAAAAAUAUUGGGAAGACUAUCUUCAAAUAAGUCUAUGUGCAAUCAAGGGGAAAAAAUGGUAACAAAAGGAGAGCAAGAGAUAACUGAUGAACAGCCCAUAUUCUUCAUUGAUCUCCAUGCAUGAUCUCCAUGGCUAAAGUCAAGAAAUCUAGAGGGAAAAUCCUUAACAUGUUGGACAGACUCCUUCUAGUGCAUUUGUGGGAGAAGAUGGACAAGAGCAUCAGGAUGGGCAAACAAAGAUAGGUUGUAAUGGGCAUUGUUGGAGACAGUAACCACAAUUAUAGGAUCACAGAUUCAUCAUUUUGCAUACCCUUUGAUCAGUAAUGUCUCUGCUGAUUCUGUAUAAUAAAUCAAAGAAAUCAUAAAAAAAAAAAAAAAAA